rnacentral:lncRNA from 1 species
GUGUGAUUAGACAGAUGAGAUCAAUCGCGAUAAACGAUUUAGAUUCGUUUUCUCCUUAAAUGCAUCAGACGGACGAGAUCAAUCGUGAUGAAUGAUCAAAAUCAAUACGGGAUGGGUAUAAUAAAUAUCUCACAUCACAAGGGAACCCAAACUCUAGCUGCCAACGCCCGACGGAGAAGAAGAACUGUGCAUUGGAGAAGGAGGCUAACUGCCGAUCGCCAAAAAAGAAGAUAUUUUCCUCUACCUACUUGGAAUUUGAUUUCAAGCAUUCCUGUGGCCAAAUCAGAGAAAGAGGGACAGCGGGUGAGCUGGAAACCACGAGCAAAGCCCAGCGGAGUCGCCAUAGCCAAAACCUAAAAAUUCCUCUGAUAAGCGCCUUUCUGUUUCC